AUGAUGGAAGACGACGGCAUGGAUUUCAGCCCUCAGAAAAACAGUAAUGAUUUCGACCGCGACAGCUUCGAAGACGAUGAAUUCAUCGAAAUUCAAUCUGCAACCUCGAAAGCACCUGCUCACUCGCAAGGCCCUCCUGAUAGGAAACCAAAGCCGAAGAACAAGCCAGCUAAGAUCGAGAAACCUAGCCCGGCCAAUCUGCACCACGUCUCUACAAUGAGCCCGGGGCUGCCCCACUCCCAAACAUCCGAAACAAUCGCAACGAGCGCGAACAAUUCCGAAACCGUCGUCGGCAAUGGCAGCUUGGAGAGCAGCCGUAGCACCCGGAGCAACAGCCUAGAGAGCAGCAUCAGCUCGGCGUCGGCGUCGGCGUCGUCGGCGAACGUGAAGCGGCACACUGGCGGGGACAGCCGGUGGGAGGCGAUCCAGCAGGCGACGGCCCAGGAGACGGCUCUCAACCUUGGCCACUUCCGGCUGCUGAAGCGGCUGGGCUACGGCGACAUCGGCAGCGUGUACUUGGUGGAGCUCCGCGGCACGUCGGCCUUCUUCGCGAUGAAGGUGAUGGACAAGGCGUCGCUCAUCAGCCGGAAUAAGAUGGCCCGCGCGCAGACGGAGCGCGAGAUCCUCGUCCUCCUCGACCACCCCUUCCUCCCCACGCUCUACACCCACUUCGAGACCGACAAGUUCCACUGUCUCGUCAUGGAGUACUGCAGCGGCGGCAACCUCCACUCCCUCCGCCAGAAGCAGCCGGCCAAGCAUUUCACCGAGCAGGCCGCCAGGUUUUACACCGCCGAGAUACUGCUUGCCAUGGAGUACUUGCACAUGCUGGGGGUCGUUUACAGAGACUUGAAGCCAGAGAACGUGCUGGUCAGGGAGGACGGCCACAUCAUGCUGUCGGACUUCGACUUGUCGCUGCGGUGCUCCGUCAGCCCCACGCUCGUCAAGUCGUCUUCGGUACACCACACCAGCGGGAACGUCGGCGCCGGCGCAGGCGGCAUUGGCUCGGCCGGCGAGGGCGGCGAAGGAUUGGGUCCCAACCAGGGUUGCAUCCAGCCGUCGUCCUUCUUCCCGCGCAUCCUGCCGCGCCGCAGCCGGAAGGCGUCCAAGAGCGAGGUGAACCUCAACGCGGCGGCCGCGGUGGAGUUCAACGCGGAGCCGUCGGACGCGCGCUCCAUGUCGUUCGUGGGCACGCACGAGUACCUUGCGCCGGAGAUCAUCCGCGGCGAGGGCCACGGCAGCGCCGUGGACUGGUGGACGCUGGGAAUCUUCCUCUACGAGCUGCUGCACGGCACCACGCCCUUCAAGGGCGCCGGCAACCGCGCCACGCUCUGCAACGUCAUCGAGCAGCCGCUGCGGUUCCCCUCCGACUUCGGGGGCCCCGCCGGCGGCGCAAGUGCCGUCGCACGGGACCUCAUCCGCGGGCUGCUCGUCAAGGAGCCACAGAAGCGAAUUGCGUUCACGAGGGGCGCCACGGAGAUCAAGCAGCACCCGUUCUUCGAGGGCGUCAACUGGGCGCUGGUGAGGAGUAUGGCGCCUCCGUCGGUGCCGGAGCCAGUGGACUACCGGCAGUACGCAGCUGCCACCGGCAAGGAGAAGAAUGCAGCAGAGAGCGCAACCGCCAAGUCGAGCACCGGCGAAGCUCAAGGCGAUUUCGAGUAUUUCUAG
rnacentral:rRNA from 1 species